rnacentral:misc_RNA from 1 species
AAGACUAUAGACCUGCGGAGUACCUGCGGAAGGAUCAUUACCGAGUGUUUUUUUACAACUCCCAAACCCCUAAAUGUGAACCUUAUACCGUUAUUGUUGCUUCGGCGGGUUUUAAUGCCCCGGAUGCGCCCAGAGCCGCCGGACCCAGGCGCCCGCCGGAGGACCUAGACUCUUGUUUCUCUCUGUUUUAUAGCAGCCCUCUGAGUGGAUUUUUACGAUAUUGAAAUGAAUCAAAACUUU